rnacentral:lncRNA from 1 species
CCAAGAUGGCGGCACAGAAUGAUACUCUCGCAUGAUUUUCCUUCUCUUCCCUGGGCCUUUUCUUCUGUCAGCCAAUUGGGUAAGACCAUGGCUAUUUCUUUACUUGGUCAUGAAGAUGACCCUAAAAGGGUCAGAAAUAUGGCUGAGUGGGUUGGGAAGAAAGUUUGCUCCACCAUUAAGCAUUCUACUUACUCCCCACCCACCCCCACAUUUCUGAGUGGAUGCAAAGUAUUUCACAGCUUCCCUUUUCAUCUUUCCCCUUCCUUUUCUCCCUUUCUUCUCCUCCUCCCUCUCAUUGGAGACCAAUAUGGUGAGGAGGCAACAUAGUAAAAAGAAUGACCAUAUCUGGUGUCAGAGAACUCUUGAGUUUGAACCAUGGCUCUACUAUUAGCAUGAGACCUCCAGGACGUCACUUAAAUUUUCUGUGUCUCAACUUCCUCCUCUGUAAAAUAAAAUUGUUGGUCUAGGUGAUUUCUAAGGUCCUUAAUGUUGUAAUUUCUCUCUAGAGCAGCUUCCUUGCUGCUCAAAAUAAUAGGAAAGAACAUACCUAUUCUAGUUCAUUAUCUCCCUUCUCUCCCCGACCUGCAUUUAUUAAAUGUCCGAGAGAAUUUGAGUCAGAAAGACUUGGAUUCGAGGUCCACUUUGACACACUCUAGCUGUGUGAUCUUGGGCAAGUCACUUAAGCUCUUGCUGACCUAGGCCACUGUCUAAGACUGUAAGUUGUAAUACUCUGCAUCAGUCCAGAGAAUUUUCUUGUUGAGAAAUUGCUGUACCAGAGAAAUCCCAGAAAUCCAGCUCCUUUCCCCCGCAGAAAAAGUGUUCCAGGCAUUGUAGUUGAUGGACAUACAAAGACUAAAUGAAAUGUUCCUGCCCCCAAAAGCUUGGUUCUAAAUGAGGAGACACAAGUGGGAUUGGGGGAAGGGGCUCCUACAACCAUCACAGGGGAUGAACCAGAAUCUUUCCCGUAUUUUUUCCUCCCCUCUCCCUCAUAUCUCCAGUGUUUUUUCUUUCCUUGGGGGUAUUUUCUUAGCCCAGACUUUAUUGGCACUUCAUCCUUAACCCACCUUUUCUUCCUUAAAUCAUCUUAUAUUUCCUCCCUUGAUCAUUUUAUAUUUUGCUCUGGGACUUUGAAGAAAUGACUGGGCUUGGAAAUAGAAAUCAAAUCACAUCGCUAUUGGAUUUAGUGCUACAAAGGUUAAAGGUUGUGUAGGCCCAAUGCCUUAAUUUACUGAAGCAGAAAGGGGGCCUUUAAGCCACAUGGCUACUAUUCCUUUGACUCAGAUGAUGCUGUUUCUUCUGGUUAAGGCUCUAAAGGGGGACCAUCCUGUGUGCACUCACAAAAUCCCCAAAAUUCCCUUACUUAAAGCAGUCACUCGAAGGCUUAUUGGGAUGGAGGAGUGAGCAUCUCAUUUGUGGAUUCUCCUAGAAAUGAGACCCAUCCUCCCGGUGCGUGAGGAAGAAAACGGGUUGGCAUGUGGUGGGAAGGCAAGACCCUGAAUUAUUUCCCUGGGGGACCCCAAGCUACAACUUCUGGGAUUUUAGGGCAUUAGAGAUGAGGAGUUAAUAAUCUGAACGCACGUACACAAUAGCACAAUUCAAUUAUCUUUGAAGUGCCGACUAUCAAUCAGGAUUUUACCUGCUGCCAUUAACACCAGCAAAGUGAGGUGACAGAUCCAAGCUGCAGAAAAUCACCCUGAGACUUCCCUUCUUGGGGACACUAUUUCACUCAUUGGGGGGGACCCCUCCAGCUGCUACGGUCACAGAACCUGGAAAAUGUUCUGUAGCCAUUCCCCUGUUUCAGAGCGAAUCGGAAGGGCCCUUCCUCCUCUCUGGCCUGAGCCCAGAUCCUCCUGAGACCAAAUCGUCUGCUAAGAGGAUGGUCAUUCACCUGGUAGGAAAGGGACGCCCCCAUCCCACGCCCCUAAACUCAAAGGUCUCUGGUUCACUAGUCCCAGGGAAGGAUGGGAACGGGCUCCAUUUCUUAGAAGCCGUGGUCUUUUAGAAAUAAAUAAUGCAUACGUGACUUGGCUCCGAGAUUCAGUCUCCAGGGUGAUGUUGGGCCGCCGCGUCUCUAGCUUGGAUGCUGUCCUGGUCGGGGGGGACCCUUCUGUGUGAGAUCGGUUGAUGUCGUG